rnacentral:rRNA from 1 species
UACGAAGGGGGCUAGCGUUGCUCGGAAUCACUGGGCGUAAAGCGCACGUAGGCGGCUUUUUAAGUCAGGGGUGAAAUCCUGGAGCUCAACUCCAGAACUGCCUUCGAUACUGGCGAUCUCGAGUUCGGGAGAGGUGAGUGGAACUGCGAGUGUAGAGGUGAAAUUCGUAGAUAUUCGCAAGAACACCAGUGGCGAAGGCGGCUCACUGGCCCGAUACUGACGCUGAGGUGCGAAAGCGUGGGGAGCAAACAGG